rnacentral:sRNA from 1 species
UGAGUUAAUAAACUUGGUAGGUAGGUGA